rnacentral:lncRNA from 1 species
UUUCUUUUUCUUUUUCCUUUUUCUUUUCUUUUCUUUUCUUCUUCUUCCCGGGCUUUUAUUGGGCCGAAACAGGGGACCUUGAGGUCCCCGUGCCUUGAUCGGCCGAUCAAGGCCAUAACAUGGCCGGUGGUGGCCGGCGGCAACGGCCGACCCUCCCGGGUUCGGAGAGACCCGCCGACCGCCGGCACCGAAAAAUCAGAGGAAAGAGGCGGUGAACAGGGGGUUUCCUUCUCCAACUAAAUCCAGCGACACCCGUCGCCGGCCAUCGUGCUCACAGGUACGAAAAAGAAGGGAGAGAAGAGAGGGAGAGAAGGAAGACCUUACCACAACCUCCGGUGACCCCCAUCGGCGUGCAAUCACGGCGAACACGGAUCGAG